AACGAACGCUGGCGGCAUGCCUAACACAUGCAAGUCGAACGAAGUCUUCGGACUUAGUGGCGCACGGGUGCGUAACGCGUGGGAAUCUGCCCUUGGGUACGGAAUAACUCAGAGAAAUUUGUGCUAAUACCGUAUAAUGUCUUCGGACCAAAGAUUUAUCGCCCAAGGAUGAGCCCGCGUAAGAUUAGCUAGUUGGUGGGGUAAAAGCCUACCAAGGCGACGAUCUUUAGCUGGUCUGAGAGGAUGAUCAGCCACACUGGGACUGAGACACGGCCCAGACUCCUACGGGAAGCAGCAGUGGGGAAUAUUGGACAAUGGGCGAAAGCCUGAUCCAGCAAUGCCGCGUGAGUGAUGAAGGCCCUAGGGUUGUAAAGCUCUUUUACCAGGGAUGAUAAUGACAGUACCUGGAGAAUAAGCGCCGGCUAACUCCGUG
rnacentral:rRNA from 1 species